UGCAAGUCGAACGGGAUUAUUUUUGUAGCAAUACAGAAAUAAUUCAGUGGCGAACGGGUGCGUAACACGUGGGCAAUCUGCCGAAAAGUGGGGGAUAGCUCGCCGAAAGGCGAAUUAAUACCGCAUGUGGUGAGGGACGACAUCUUCCUGAAUCCAAAGCCGGGGCAACCUGGCGCUUUUUGAGGAGCCCGCGGCCUAUCAGCUAGUUGGCGGGGUAACGGCCCACCAAGGCCAUGACGGGUAGCUGGUCUGAGAGGACGACCAGUCACACUGGAACUGAGACACGGUCCAGACACCUACGGGUGGCAGCAGUCGAGAAUUUUUCUCAAUGGGCGAAAGCCUGAAGGAGCGACGCCGCGUGGAGGAUGAAGGCUUUCGGGUUGUAAACUCCUGUCAUUUGAGAACAAGGGGCCGAACUUAACUACUUCGGCCUUGAUAGUAUCAGAAGAGGAAGGGACGGCUAACUCUGUGCCAGCAGCCGCGGUAAUACAGAGGUCCCAAGCGUUGUUCGGAUUCAUUGGGCGUAAAGGGUGCGUAGGUGGCGCCGUAAGUCGGGUGUGAAAUUUCGGAGCUUAACUCCGAAACUGCAUUCGAUACUGCGGUGCUUGAGGACUGGAGAGGAGACUGGAAUUCAUGGUGUAGCAGUGAAAUGCGUAGAGAUCAUGAGGAAGACCAGUGGCGAAGGCGGGUCUCUGGACAGUUCCUGACACUGAGGCACGAAGGCCAGGGGAGCAAACGGGAUUAGAUACCCCGGUAGUCCUGGCAGUAAACGGUGCACGUUUGGUGUGGGAGGAUUCGACCCCUUCCGCGCCGGAGCUAACGCGUUAAACGUGCCGCCUGGGGAGUACGGUCGCAAGAUUAAACUCAAAGAAAUUGACGGGGGCCCGCACAAGCGGUGGAGUAUGUGGCUUAAUUCGAUGCAACGCGAGACUUACAGCUGACAUG
rnacentral:rRNA from 1 species